rnacentral:tRNA from 1 species
GCGGACGUGGCGGAACCGGUAGACGCAAGGGACUUAAAAUCCCUUGGGGGCAACCCCGUGCGGGUUCAACUCCCGCCGUCCGCACCA